GCAGCCCCAGGCUGUGGCCUUCGCAAGGCGGUGGUGGUUGUCAGCGUGACUACGAAUCUCCUGUUCUCUGUGACUCCUGCUCCCUUCCGGCCACACAGCUCUGAAAGUUGACUGUUCGUUUUCUUUCCUGCGUAUGACCUUUUGUGCUCUCUCGUGACAGCACUGGUUUGCCCUAAAAUUUAGAAUACAUGCAGGAAAUUGUGUGUGUUGUUGAAUCAGGUGCUGCUGUAUCCUGCUAAUGUCUUCUUUGUGGAGGA